UAAGAAAGUGUAUAAAAGCGCUUGCAACUGCCGGUUCAUUAACAACUUCUCUUGACUUAUCCUCUUCAGCGACUGGGAUUUACCUCCAACACUGAAAGAUGAUUUUCGACGAAAACUUUAGUGAUGAAUUGUAUUAUAAGCCCCAACAUUACAAGGGCUGGUAUGGUAGAGGUCACGGCUACUGGAGGCCAUGGUACUACCAAAGGCCAUACGGGUGUGGUUGGGGCUAUCCCAAACAUUGUUGGUACCCUUAUCCUAGCCGUUGGGGCUGGGGAUACGGCUAUGGAAAGGGUUGGCCAUGUUUCGCCGAGGAGGAAUAGAGCCGGAACGUGGAAAGGCCAGAAAACGUUAAGCCAGAUUCACAGAUGAGUUUAUGGGCAAUAGGUCUGAGAAAUGCAGAGUCACCCCAACUCCCAUGGGAGCUGUGAGUGCUCAGCAUCUCAGUAAAUCUGCCCCAUAUCUAUAUUGCCUAGGUUACAUUCGAUGACCGUUUCCUCUACUGUCUUCUAUACACUCUGCUUCUUCUAGAAUACUCUGUUUGGGAGUGAAUCUCAGUUUCACGAAGGCCCCUUUACAUUAUGCUGACACAGUAACUGAAGCAGGCUCCUUACAACGCUGUCAAAAGAGGUCUUAGUGUCAAUGAGAAUCAAGCCCUACCUGUUCUAGUCCUUUCAUGCAUAUGUGCCAUUUGUUUCUGCUUUCAACUUCGUUUUAUAUGUUGUUUACUGGAGAAGUAGUUUCAUCCUUGGCUUUAGUUGUGCUUUGUCUCAUUUCAUUCUGACUGUGAUGGAACUAAUACCUUAAGAUGGUUGCAAAGAGAACUUGAUUGGGAAAAUCUACAACUGUGACGAAGAACGAAGAACAUCUGGUGUGAAAUGCAUCACCUUGGAACUAAUGAUUCAUUAGAGACCUUCUUGAUACCUUAGAGAUAUUAUUGUAAUUCUGA